ensembl:misc_RNA Metazoa_SRP Metazoan signal recognition particle RNA
GCUGGGCAUGCUGGAGUGUGCCUGCAGUCCCAGACACUUGGGAAGCUGAGGCAGGAGGAUCGCUUGAGCCCAGGAGUUCUGGGCUAUAGUGCACUAUGCCAAUCAGGUGUCCACACUAAGUUUGGCAUCAAUAUGGUGACCUUCUAGAGUGGGAGACCACCAGGUUGGAAAUGGAGCAUGUCAAAAACUCCCAUGCUGAUCAGCAGUGGGAUCACUCUGCACUCCAGCCUGGGCAACACAGCAAGACCCUGUCUCUA